rnacentral:lncRNA from 1 species
UAAAAAAAAUGAUAGUAAUGCCUCCUAGCUGAUGUAAAUUUUUGAGAUAUUUCGAUUUGAUUUUAUCCUGUUUAUAUGUAUUUAUAGUGAGUUAUAUAUUUUUGUAAAAGGGAAAAUACCAGAAGAAAUGUUUUGUACUCUCAUCACAUCAAGGCAUUUUCAUCUCAGAACAUUACGGAUUUUCACCGACAAUACAAUCCCAC